GUAGGCGAUGGAUAACAGGUUGAUAUUCCUGUACCACCUAUAAUCGUUUUAAUCGAUGGGGGGACGCAGUAGGAUAGGCGAAGCGUGCGAUUGGAUUGCACGUCUAAGCAGUAAGGCUGAGUAUUAGGCAAAUCCGGUACUCGUUAAGGCUGAGCUGUGAUGGGGAGAAGACAUUGUGUCUUCGAGUCGUUGAUUUCACACUGCCGAGAAAAGCCUCUAGAUAGAAAAUAGGUGCCCGUACCGCAAACCGACACAGGUAGUCAAGAUGAGAAUUCUAAGGUGAGCGAGCGAACUCUCGUUAAGGAACUCGGCAAAAUGACCCCGUAACUUCGGGAGAAGGGGUGCUCUUUAGGGUUAACGCCCAGAAGAGCCGCAGUGAAUAGGCCCAAGCGACUGUUUAUCAAAAACACAGGUCUCUGCUAAACCGUAAGGUGAUGUAUAGGGGCUGACGCCUGCCCGGUGCUGGAAGGUUAAGAGGAGUGGUUAGCUUCUGCGAAGCUACGAAUCGAAGCCCCAGUAAACGGCGGCCGUAACUAUAACGGUCCUAAGGUAGCGAAAUUCCUUGUCGGGUAAGUUCCGACCCGCACGAAAGGCGUAACGAUUUGGGCACUGUCUCAACGAGAGACUCGGUGAAAUCAUAGUACCUGUGAAGAUGCAGGUUACCCGCGACAGGACGGAAAGACCCCGUGGAGCUUUACUGUAGCCUGAUAUUGAAAUUCGGCACAGCUUGUACAGGAUAGGUAGGAGCCUUUGAAACGUGAGCGCUAGCUUACGUGGAGG
rnacentral:rRNA from 1 species